rnacentral:lncRNA from 1 species
AUGUUGGCCCCGGGGAGGGCAGGGCUCUUUGGGCUUCCCCGGUAUUUCCCAAGUGCCUGGAUCCACGUGGGGCUGGUCUCGCUGCUCCGCAGACAUUUGUGCUGCUUGUCGGCAGGGCUGCAGAGAGAAGAGGGAGGCUGUGGGAGAAAUAGCUGCUUCCCCCGCACCUCCCGGCCGGGGCCUGUGGUCAGAGGGCUGGACUCUGUGCCCUCCUGGCUGCAGGGGGAGGUCCGGCGCCCUCACCCCACCCGCCUUCCUGGGGGGGCACUGGGCCAGGGAACCCCCCGGGGGCCCCCGCACAUGCAUGCUGGCGUACACCUGCGCACCCGGCCUCUGCAGCCCCAACACCCACCACCCGCUGACGUGGCUGCGGUUUCGAGGCCCCAGAGGUGCAGAUUAGAGACAGAGUGUCCUGUUUUCUGCGGCUUCCUUGGCAGGUGGGGGUGGGGGACGGGCUCCCCUGGAAACUGGCACCCGCAGAGGCCCCCUCUCCCCGCCUUCGGAUACGCACAUCACGCGCACGCACACACGCACACGCAGUUGGCCAGGGGGCGCCCGCCAGGCUGGCUGCUCUUAGGUCCCGGCCCGGGAGCCGGGCACCCAUCUGUGCCAAGCCCUGCUGCAGGUGGGGGGUGCAGGGGAAGAGGCUGUGAGCACUUCCCAGCAGCACCCGAGAUGCUACCUUUAGUGCUUCGUGCCCACCCAGCAGGGCCACCCAGCCACACCUGCCCGUUCUGUCCUCUGGGGGAAGCAGUGCCCUCCUCUGCCUUCUCCCCUCAAAACCACAUCCCCAUGGGGGGGCCGCAUUCCGCCCUCGCCCUCGCCCUCGCCCUUGCCCUCGGAGGGGUGGAGCCGCCGCCCCUGCGGCUCGGGCGCCCGCUGCCCGCGGUGGCUGGCUGGGCUGCCGCAGCUCCCGGUGCCCCCCGGCUCCAGCCCGACCCCCCGGUGGUGCCUUCCCUGCUCCAGGAACCCCGCUUCAAGGCGGAGAUGAGCGCGGCCUGCCCCGGCACCAGGCCUCCCGGGUUGAGUGUCAGCUCGGCGUGA